rnacentral:rRNA from 1 species
UACGUAGGGGGCAAGCGUUGUCCGGAUUUAUUGGGCGUAAAGAGCGUGUAGGCGGCCAGACAGGUCUGCUGUGAAAACUCGAGGCUCAACCUCGAGACGCCGGUGGAAACCGUCUGGCUAGAGUCCGGAAGAGGAGAGUGGAAUUCCCGGUGUAGAGGUGAAAUUCGUAGAUAUCGGGAGGAACACCAGUGGCGAAGGCGGCGACCUGGGCCAAUACUGACACUGAGGUGCGAAAGCGUGGGGAGCAAACAGG